AUUGAACGCUGGCGGCAGGCCUAACACAUGCCAGUCGAGCGGAUGAAGGGAGCUUGCUCCUGGAUUCAGCGGCGGACGGGUGAGUAAUGCCUAGGAAUCUGCCUGGUAGUGGGGGAUAACGUCCGGAAACGGGCGCUAAUACCGCAUACGUCCUGAGGGAGAAAGUGGGGGAUCUUCGGACCUCACGCUAUCAGAUGAGCCUAGGUCGGAUUAGCUAGUUGGUGGGGUAAAGGCCUACCAAGGCGACGAUCCGUAACUGGUCUGAGAGGAUGAUCAGUCACACUGGAACUGAGACACGGUCCAGACUCCUACGGGAGGCAGCAGUGGGGAAUAUUGGGCAAUGGGCGAAAGCCUGAUCCAGCCAUGCCGCGUGUGUGAAGAAGGUCUUCGGAUUGUAAGCACUUUAAGUUGGGAGGAAGGGCAGUAAGUUAAUACCUUGCUGUUUUGACGUUACCAACAGAAUAAGCACCGGCUAACUUCGUG
rnacentral:rRNA from 1 species